GGUUAUACCAAGUGAUUAAGUUAUACUUUUAGGUAAAAAGACAGUUAGGUUUGAUAAACCAAUUUAGUCUAUUGACCACUUGUAAAAAAGUAAAAUUUGUAUACAAGUAGCUAAUCUAGAAAUGGCUAUCUUAAAUACUGAAGCUGUGAUAGUCUUGAGGGAAACUGGGAUUAGAUACCCCAUUAUUCUUGACUGUAAAUAUAAUUAAAUUUACCAGAGUACUAUGAAUAGUUAAAAAUUUAAAACUCAAAGGGCUUGGCGGUGUUUUAGACCAAUCAGGGGAACCUGUCUCGUAAUCGACAAUCCACGUUAUAUCUAACCUUAUUUUGUAAUCAGUUUGUAUACCGUCGUCGUCAGGUAACUUUUAAAAAUAUAGAAGUUAGCAACAAAAAUGAUGUAAAUUAAGACGUCAGAUCAAGGUGCAGCCUAUAAUAAGGAGAGGAUGGGUUACAAUUAUUAAAUUUAUAAUUACGGAAAUUUAAAUGAAAUCAUAUUUUGAAGGAGGACUUGAAAGUAAACUAAAAUAUAUAAAUAGUUUGAAUAAGGCUCUG
rnacentral:rRNA from 1 species